UACGAAGGGUGCAAACGUUGCUCGGAAUUAUUGGGCGUAAAGCGCACGUAGGCGGCUUUGCAAGUCGGAUGUGAAAUCCCUCGGCUUAACCAAGGAAGUGCAUCCGAAACUGCAGAGCUUGAGUACUUAAGAGGAUCGCGGAAUUCCCGGUGUAGAGGUGAAAUUCGUAGAUAUCGGGGAGGAACACCAGUGGCGAAGGCGGCGAUCUGGGGAAGAUACUGACGCUGAGGUGCGAAAGCGUGGGGAGCGAACAGG
rnacentral:rRNA from 1 species